CUAGAUGGUCGGAUGAUCGCUGGCCAAACCUUUUGGUUCAUGGCUGGAGGAAAGUCCGGGCUCCACGGAAACACGAUGCCGGGUAAUACCCGGCGGGGGUGACCCUAGGGAAAGUGCCGCAGAAAGUAAACCGCCUGCAUUAGUUAAUUACAGGUAAGGGUGAAAGGGUGUGGUAAGAGCGCACCGCAGAUGCAGUAAUGUGUCUGGCAUGGUAAACCCCAUCGGGAGCAAGACCAAAUAGGAGUGGCGCGUUAGUAUUACUAAUAGAUGCGUUUCCGCAUUGUCAUUCGGGUAGGUCGCGAGAGGCGGUUAGUGAUAGUCGUCCCAGAGGAAUGGUCAUCUAUUCUACCUACAUUAAAGUGGAUAGAAGGACAGAACCCGGCUUAUAGACCAUCUAGCUCU
rnacentral:RNase_P_RNA from 2 species